rnacentral:tRNA from 1 species
GGCGGCGUGGCCAAGCGGUAAGGCAAGGGACUGCAAAUCCCUCAUUCAGCGGUUCGAAUCCGCUCGCCGCCU